UGGCGGACGGGUGAGUAAUGUCUGGGAAACUGCCCGAUGGAGGGGGAUAACUACUGGAAACGGUAGCUAAUACCGCAUAACGUCGCAAGACCAAAGAGGGGGACCUUCGGGCCUCUUGCCAUCGGAUGUGCCCAGAUGGGAUUAGCUAGUAGGUGGGGUAAUGGCUCACCUAGGCGACGAUCCCUAGCUGGUCUGAGAGGAUGACCAGCCACACUGGAACUGAGACACGGUCCAG
rnacentral:rRNA from 1 species